ACUCCUACGGGAGGCAGCAGUAAGGAAUAUUGGUCAAUGGACGAAAGUCUGAACCAGCCAUGCCGCGUGAAGGAUGAAGGUCCUCUGGAUUGUAAACUUCUUUUAUAUGGGGCGAAAAAAGGCCUUUCUAGGUCGUCUGACGGUACCAUAUGAAUAAGCACCGGCUAACUCCGUGCCAGCAGCCGCGGUAAUACGGAGGGUGCAAGCGUUAUCCGGAUUCACUGGGUUUAAAGGGUGCGUAGGUGGGUUGGUAAGUCAGUGGUGAAAUCUCCGGGCUUAACUCGGAAACUGCCAUUGAUACUAUUAAUCUUGAAUACCGUGGAGGUUGGCGGAAUAUGUCAUGUAGCGGUGAAAUGCUUAGAUAUGACAUAGAACACCAAUUGCGAAGGCAGCUGGCUACACGGAUAUUGACACUGAGGCACGAAAGCGUGGGGAUCAAACAGGAUUAGAUACCCUGGUAGUCCACGCCCUAAACUAUGGAUACUCGACAUUUGCGAUAAACUGUAAGUGUCUGAGCGAAAGCAUUAA
rnacentral:rRNA from 1 species